GGGGAAUAUUGGGCAAUGGGCGAAAGCCUGACCCAGCAACGCCGCGUGAAGGAAGAAGGUUUUCGGAUCGUAAACUUCUAUCCUAGGUGAAGAUAAUGACGGUAGCCUAGAAGGAAGCCCCGGCUAACUACGUGCCAGCAGCCGCGGUAAUACGUAGGGGGCAAGCGUUGUCCGGAAUGAUUGGGCGUAAAGGGCGCGUAGGCGGCCGCGUAAGUCCGACGUGAAAUUCCUGCUUUUAAGGUAGGAAUUGCGUUGGAAACUGCGUGGCUUGAGUGCAGGAGAGGUAAGUGGAAUUCCCGGUGUAGCGGUGAAAUGCGUAGAGAUCGGGAGGAACACCAGUGGCGAAGGCGACUUACUGGACUGUAACUGACGCUGAGGCGCGAAAGUGUGGGGAGCAAAC
rnacentral:rRNA from 1 species